rnacentral:lncRNA from 1 species
UCACAUGCUCCAUCAGCCCUUUGGACUGCUCUCUCCUCAUGCCUCCCCUUCAAUCACUCACCAUAUUAAUAACACCUGAAUACGAAAAAACAUUUAUGAAUUAUACAGGCAUGCAAAAUAUUGUAUACUGUGAAGCAUAGCAAUGCCACUAAGUAAGAUGGGCACUCUCAUAUUUAAAAACAGAAAAUAUAAUAAACUAUGUAUUAAAGAGAUAUGGUCUAGAAUGGUCUAAUAUAAACCCAUAUAUUUUCUGUAAAAAGUUUCCUUUUUGUGAACUAUAUUGUCUUUAAAAGAUAGGUCAAAUUGUUAAAAACUGACAUGUAAACAACAAACACAAACUAUAGCCAGUUAGCAAAGCCCUAUUUUUUUGCAAGGCCAACAUCACGACAACCAUCACUCAUGGCCUGCCUUGGAGGCACGACGUGAAGGUUACCAAAGGUUAGCGCUACUACAGGUGUUUCUAUUCACAUCAUCAAUAGUUCAUGUAUGCACCUAUUAGGUAAUUCCAAGUUUUCAUUCAGAUUUAUCCUCUUCAAAGGAUAUGGGGUACACGGUAGCUGGACGGGGAGCUGCAGCCUAAGACAACCUGAAUCAGCAAAUAUAGAAACUACCCUGUAGUUCUAAAGAUCUGAAAUACAACUGCAUGGACAAAGUUUUGCUGCGAAAGAAUCGUACGUGUAUAUACAGUAACGUGUUGUUGAUUCCAUAGAGAAUUUACCAUCAGCUAAGUUGGUCCUUUCGUUGUGCAUGAACUCAUACACAAGUAUGUUCUUCCUGUCUUGCUGACUGUAACCAGUGAAUGUUACCAGGUUCCAAUGACUUAUUCCAGAAAGCAAUGCUACCUAAAACAAGUAGACCUUCACAGCAGACUACUCCCUUUGUCCCAAAAUAAGUUUCUCAACUCUAGUACAACUUUGUAACAGAGUUGAGACACUUAUUUUAGGACGGAGGGCGCACAUGUAAGCCAGCCAACUCAUCAGGACAACAUCAGUAAGAAAAGAAAUGCAUGAGCAUAUGGUACAUUGUCAUGCAAUGAUGCAAUCAUAGCAUGAUAUGGAUGUUCAGUAGACCAUUACAACAGACCACAAGAGGGGAUGUGCAGAUACAGAAUGCAAAGGAAAUUUCAAAAGGCAGGAACUGAAAUUGCAGAAACAUAAAAGAAGGAUUACUACUAAUCUAAGAUAGUGAGGAAAC